UACAGAGGGUGCGAGCGUUAAUCGGAAUUACUGGGCGUAAAGCGUGCGUAGGUGGUUUGAUAAGUCGGAUGUGAAAGCCCUGGGCUUAACCUGGGAACGGCAUACGAAACUGUUGAACUCGAGUCGUGUAGAGGGAAGUGGAAUUUCCGGUGUAGCGGUGAAAUGCGUAGAUAUGGGAAAGAACACCAGUGGCGAAGGCGGCUUCCUGGACACAGACUGACACUGAGGCACGAAAGCGUGGGGAGCAAACAGG
rnacentral:rRNA from 1 species